AUAACCAUUAUACGAAAUAAUCAGCAGGAAUUUAAAAAGGUUUCCUAGAAAAGUACAAUAGACCUAUGGGGGCGACUCACAACUGUCAAAGAGACCUUACACAGCAAAUAAGCAGCUGAACUGCACGUGCAAUGAUUUCACAGAAACCUCAAAUCAAUCUAAAAACUAAUUUCGAGAUACUCAAAAAUUGCUGAAAUGGAAAUUUUUAUAAGCUUUUAUUUAUUUUUAAUCAAUAAUUAUAUGUUGUUACUAAAUAUUAAGUAUAAAUAUAUAAAUUCAUACAUAAAUAUGUAUAUGUAUACAAGCAUAUACUAUAAACCCACAUAAAGUUUGCUAUGUUGAUAAGCUCACGCGUGAUACACUGUGUUGCGGCACAUGUGCGGACAUACAAAUAUUUAUUUAAAUAAAUUUAAAAUAUACGACACAUUUAUUAUGUAUUCACAUACAUAUUUAUUGGCGAUAAGAAACUGCCGUUGUGCUCGGCAGAAAUCAGCUGAUUUAACAAAGUAUUUAUUAUCACAAUAUGUAUUUAUUAUCACAAUGAAUAAUUUAAAAUUAAAAUUAAUUUCAA